rnacentral:lncRNA from 1 species
AAUUUGGAACAGAAAGUGACUAAUUUGAGUCAAAAAGCGAACAUCAACACAGAAAUAAUUCAGGACUUGGUACAGGAAUCCAUUUUGGCAGGACAAAUGGUGGAGGAGAAGGAGGAGAAGGAGAAUGCUGCUGUUGCUGAACAUAAAGUUGAACAUAAAGUAGUACAAGUGAGAUCCGUGGCUUUACAGAAGCAAAUUGAGGACUAUAAGUUGAGGCCUUUUAUGAUUGAAUCUAGGAAAAAUCAGACUCUGAGGAAUGGACCCCAGCUUGGACGAAAGAAGGAAAGUUGGAAAGAUCCCUCUAUGCAGGGAUUAACUGACUUUUGGGACAUGGACUCGGGCCUGGAGGAGAUUGAAGUUUUGGGGGCCUUUGGACUUGGAGGAAUCUUGAAAUAUGCUCUGAAAUACUUUAUGGACUGUAGCUUUAACUAUGGAAAUUUGGCUGAUCUGUUCAGAAGGAAGAAAAGGAUUGACAGGUUGGAGUUUCCCCGAGAUUUGCUCUUUAGCAUUAAAGAAAAUGAAGAAGACCUGCAGAAGGGACUUGGAAAAGAGUUAAGAGCCUCGGACAUAAGAUCACCAGGUUGAUGGACUUUAUGGAGUUGACGGAAAGGACUGGCAGAAUCCGAAACCAGGGAGAGGAGAUGGUGGAAGAAGAUUGGAAAAUUUAAAGUUUAUAUAUAGACUUAUGGUAAAACUAAUGAGUGAUAGAAAAAUGGUGGAAUGAUUUUUUAUGGGCUUAGCAGAAAUGUUAUAAGGAGUUAAGUAUAUAUAAGUAUUUUAGUUUUAAUGGAAAAUAAGGUUAAAAAAACGUUAUUUACAAUAUGAUAGAAAAUGGAGAAAGAUGGAAAGGAUUUGCUGAAACAAUUAAAAGAAGUGGAAUACAAAAAGGGAGGUGAGAGGAGGUCGAGGAAACAAGGGAAUGAAAAAUAGAGUACGGAAAAGAGAGGAUUUAUGUUUUCUCUUUUUAAAAUUGUUUUUGUUUUAUUUCAUUUAGGGCUAAGGUUAGGGAGCGGGGUUUGUUUAGUUUAGUGGGGUUUGUUUAGCUUAGUUUAAUGUGUUUAGUUUUUGAGUUUAGGUCGUGUUUUGCAUUGUUUAUAUAUUGUAUUGUAUUUUUUUGUUUUUUGCUUUCCUUCUUUGUCUUUUUCUCUGUUUUUUUUUUCUCUUUCUCUUCUUUUUUCUCUUUUUGUAAUCUAUAAAAGUAAUAAACAUUAUUUAAAAAA